AGGAGGUGGCGGUGCUAUACAUGCGUCGAGCGGACAGAAGGGAGCUUGCUCCCGGAUGUUAGCGGCGGACGGGUGAGUAACACGUGGGUAACCUGCCUGUAAGACUGGGAUAACUCCGGGAAACCGGAGCUAAUACCGGAUAGUUCCUUGAACCGCAUGGUUCAAGGAUGAAAGACGGUUUCGGCUGUCACUUACAGAUGGACCCGCGGCGCAUUAGCUAGUUGGUGAGGUAACGGCUCACCAAGGCGACGAGCGUAGCCGACCUGAGAGGGUGAUCGGCCACACUGGGACUGAGACACGGCCCAGACUCCUACGGGAGGCAGCAGUAGGGAAUCUUCCGCAAUGGACGAAAGUCUGACGGAGCAACGCCGCGUGAGUGAUGAAGGUUUUCGGAUCGUAAAGCUCUGUUGUUAGGGAAGAACAAGUGCAAGAGUAACUGCUUGCACCUUGACGGUACCUAACCAGAAAGCCACGGCUAACUACGUGCCAGCAGCCGCGGUAAUACGUAGGUGGCAAGCGUUGUCCGGAAUUAUUGGGCGUAAAGGGCUCGCAGGCGGUUUCUUAAGUCUGAUGUGAAAGCCCCCGGCUCAACCGGGGAGGGUCAUUGGAAACUGGGAAACUUGAGUGCAGAAGAGGAGAGUGGAAUUCCACGUGUAGCGGUGAAAUGCGUAGAGAUGUGGAGGAACACCAGUGGCGAAGGCGACUCUCUGGUCUGUAACUGACGCUGAGGAGCGAAAGCGUGGGGAGCGAACAGGAUUAGAUACCCUGGUAGUCCACGCCGUAAACGAUGAGUGCUAAGUGUUAGGGGGUUUCCGCCCCUUAGUGCUGCAGCUAACGCAUUAAGCACUCCGCCUGGGGAGUACGGUCGCAAGACUGAAACUCAAAGGAAUUGACGGGGGCCCGCACAAGCGGUGGAGCAUGUGGUUUAAUUCGAA
rnacentral:rRNA from 1 species